AAUCCACAAAUAGGCAUACAUGCAAAGCGUAAUUUAUUUAAAUAUUUAUAACAUAUCGGAAAAGGAGAGGGACGACCUACCAAAUUCAUUUGCCUUCUUCUUUUGUUAAUUGUUAAGAUAAAAGUGAAUCUGUGAGUGUCCUGUUGUGAGUCACUUAGUUUACUAAAAGGGACAAGCUGUGUUUGCCUCCAGUUGCUUCAGAGGGCCAAUUGCACAGCUUUUUAUUAAGAAAGUGUUGACGUUUUUUAAACAUUAGUAUAUCGACUUGGAGCCUUACAAAAACAACCGCCCUGCUCGAGGUUCCUUUGAGAUGAUAAUAAUCUUCGAAAAAAAAAAAAAAACAGAAUACGCACCAGCAGAAGUUAUAGCUUUGGGCUGAGAAAUGGGAGCGCGCAACUUAAUAUAUUUCUAUCUGAGACUACAGUUAAAGAGAGAGUUGCUAGACAACAAAUCAACAAAUUGAGGUGUUGAUGACCUGUUUUAAUACAUUAAAAUACGUCAAAGAGAAGCAAAAACCGAUUAGAAUUUCUUUUAACGAAUCGUGAGAGGGAAGACCAAGGGUGAAAAAGGUCAAAAGUUGACGUAGAAAAGGGAAGCAGAUACAUAAAAAAACAUGAUUCAAUCAUAAUCAACAUGUAGUGGAAUAAACAUAACUACAAACUACAUAGGGAAGACAAAACAACCGGUGCUUCAUAUAGCAAAAGAUUGCAACAUCGAGAGACAGUACAACGGUUUAUCCUGCAAAGGACUUUUUUUAAAUUUAGAAGCCGAUCGUCUAUCAUUGUUAUAUCUACCAAUCGAACGUUUGAUCUGUUCUAGCAAUGAACUCUUCGAUCGAGUGUUCUAGCUGGGCCAAGUCAUUCGACCCCAAGCCCGUUACCGCCGUUUUCUGGAGCUACAUUUUCUCGUGUAUUCUAACUGUCCUAAUGCUGACACCAGCGGUUUUUCUCAAUUUCUUGGUCAUUUUCGUAAUUACCCGAACACGCUCUCUGUGCAAGCCAUCGAACAUGCUUUUGUGCAGUCUGGCGCUGGCGGAUUUUGGUACUGGAAUACUGGCUCAACCGCUUUAUACCACUCACAUCGUGACGGAAAUAGAGGGUGACGUGACUUUAUUUUGCGUGACAGGCGCCAUUACGGCAUUCGUGUCGUACACACUUGCGGGCGCAGGCCUUUUCACCUUGACAGCCAUCAGCGUCGAUCGUUGCCUAGCAAUCUACAGGCCAAUGAAAUAUCGUGCUUGUGUGACACCUAAAGCCGUGGUUCAGGCUUCGGUUUGCAUGUGGAUUGUUGCAGCUUUCGGCGCGUCAACGCGUCUCUUACUCAACGUUAAAUACUUCAUGUUCUCGCUCGGGGUCACGAUGUUCGUUUCCCUGACAACGAUCUUGGUUUGCAGCGUUCUAGCGUUCCGUUCUUUGAAGACACAAAAGGAACAGAUCGCAGGGGAGAUGCGACUUCACCAAGGCAAACAAAUGGUACAACUGGCUUCAUACCGGAAGUACCUCAAAACCAUGCUUAUACUACUAGGGUUCGUUCUUCUCUGCUAUGUGCCUUUCGUGACUGUUACCAUGAUAACCGCAAUGAAUGGCAUGGAAAGUAACGCAACGCGAGCUGCGUGGAACGUUGCCGAUAGUAUUGGUUACAUGAACUCCACUAUUAAUCCAGUUGUCUAUUGCUUGAGGAUUCCGGAGAUCAGGAGAGCGUGUCAGAAGGCGUUGCGUGACAUGGGGGCGAGAAGGGGUGGGAAUGUGGUAGUACCGGCAAAGAGCGUUACGGUCAGUCUGAGGCAGCGGUCACAUGUCCUAGAGGCUAUUCCUGAAGAAGGGAGUACAGCGAAUCUCGAGCCUCCAGUCUGCUGACGUCAGACGCCGCAUUGCAGACUCUUGCAAGUUAAAAGUAGUGGUAUAAGAUACUGUGUAUCUUAUGUUGCAGUGGUAUAACAUGAGUUUGACUUAAAGGAGGAGCGUCACGGUAACUCGCAAGACGGGAAGCCUGUGUACUAUUUUUCAAAAUAGCCAAUCAGAGAUGUCCAUUAUACGAGAGUAUCGUGUAACAAAGAUUGCAAGAGAAUCGCGCUAGUUAAUCGUACUGUUUGUUUUGACUCAAACCCCCUGAAAAUUCUCUUAUUUCUUGAUAAAAUAAGCGUCUUUAUGUUUUCAGCGCUUGGAGAGGUCCCUGGAGGCCAUAUCGAAGACUCUAAGGCAAUGUUGUGGUGAUGACUGUGACUGUGACUAGGAAUAAGCAGAGACCACCAGUAGCAAAAAUAUCCGAGAUAAAGAGGAGACAAGAGAGAGAUAGAAAAAGCAAUACUCGAACGGAGAGAAUGACAUAUAUAUAUACGUCAAGUUGUGUUCACAUAUGCAAUAAAUAAACUUUGCACUAAAA